UGUCAAGGGAUGGGAAUCGAACCCACGACCUUCCGCUUACUGGGCAGAUGCCAUGACCACUAGGCUACCUUGGAC
rnacentral:tRNA from 1 species